GUGCAGCAGUCGCGAAUUUUCUCAAUGGGCGAAAGCCUGAAGGAGCGACGCCGCGUGGAGGAUGAAGGCUUUCGGGUUGUAAACUCCUGUCAUUUGAGAACAAGUGUAGCUAAGUAACUACUGGCUACUUGAUAGUAUCAGAAGAGGAAGGGACGGCUAACUCUGUGCCAGCAGCCGCGGUAAUACAGAGGUCCCAAGCGUUGUUCGGAUUCAUUGGGCGUAAAGGGUGCGUAGGUGGCGCCGUAAGUGGGGUGUGAAAUUUCGGAGCUUAACUUCGAAACUGCAUUCCAUACUGCGGUGCUUGAGGACUGGAGAGGAGACUGGAAUUCAUGGUGUAGCAGUGAAAUGCGUAGAGAUCAUGAGGAAGACCAGUGGCGAAGGCGGGUC
rnacentral:rRNA from 1 species